rnacentral:ncRNA from 1 species
GCAAUCUCGGAGGAGAGUCGAAGAAUCGAUAUUCUGGGGGAUACGCGUAAUAAAUAUUCGGGCUGAGUAUUUUUACGUAGGGUAGGUAUCAGCAACCUCUUGUUGUUGAUAGACGGGAUACUAAUGUCACUUAGUGACAUGUGAAUGGGAAACCCAACA